AUUGAACGCUGGCGGCAGGCCUAACACAUGCAAGUCGAACGAGUGGCGGACGGGUGAGUAAUGUCUGGGAAACUGCCCGCUGGUGGGGGAUAACUACUGGAAACGGUAGCUAAUACCGCAUACCAUCGGAUGUGCCCAGUGGGGAUUAGCUAGUAGGUGGGGUGACGGCUCCCCUAGGCGACGAUCCCUAGCUGGUCUGAGAGGAUGACAAGCCACACUGGAAGUGAGACACGGUCCAGACGCCUAAGGGAGGCAGCAGUGGGGAAUAGUGCAGAAUGGGCGCAAGCCUGAUGGAGCCAUGCCGCGUGUAUGAAGAAGGCCUUCGGGUUGUAGAGUACUUUCAGCGAGGAGGCGUUACUCGCAGAAGAUGCGCCGGCUAACUCCGGGCCAGCAGCCGCGGUAAUAC
rnacentral:rRNA from 1 species